UUUAAAGAAUGCAUUGGCGUGUGAGCAUGUUGUUGGUAAGUGUUAGCUUCAUGUUGAGCAGGUAUUGUUCGUUCGAUAUUAUGUAUGGUCUUACUUGAUACUUCAUGUUGGUUUAUUAUUUUCGCGCACAGCGAUCCUUUGAGUCGACCUAUUUUGCUACGAACUUCUGUUUAAUCUUUAUGGCUAGAUAUAAGACGUAUUGCGAAGUAUGUAGACUCACUUGUGAACGUGUUGGCGUGUGAGUGGCAAUUGGUACGUGCGUGUUGGUGGGCUCCUUGCUUUGUGCAACGAACCCCAUGCGUGCAUUCCUUUUCAGCUAUUCCCAAUGUUAGUUCAUUCAUCAUUGGGUUGGUUAAUGGUUUCUGUGUUGCUUACCUUGAAAUGGUAUUAGUUGUUUAAAUAAAAUAAUCGUUUCUCGUUCAACAUGUGUGGACGCGAGGCGACUUAUUAGUAUUAUUUGUGUAAGCAUUCAUUCAAUUUAUUGUUUUGAUUGUAGAUCCCAAAUCAUACAUGCAAAUAGGGAUGCAGAAAAUAAAAAACAUUGCUAGGUAUUUUCCUAGUAAUUGCAUUUGUCAUUAGACAUGAUAGACUAUCGCGUAACUGGUGGCUUUCUUCUGAGUACAACUUAGUGAAUCUCACUCGUGGCCCGAGGCCG
rnacentral:misc_RNA from 1 species